rnacentral:rRNA from 1 species
UACAGAGGUGGCAAGCGUUGUUCGGAAUUACUGGGCGUAAAGGGCGCGUAGGCGGCCUUCUAAGUCAGACGUGAAAUCCCCCGGCUUAACCUGGGAACUGCGUCUGAUACUGGGAGGCUUGAGUAUGGGAGAGGGAUGUAGAAUUCCAGGUGUAGCGGUGAAAUGCGUAGAUAUCAGGAGGAACACCGGUGGCGAAGGCGGAUCUCUGGGCCAUUACUGACGCUGAGGCGCGAAAGCGUGGGGAGCAAACAGG